UACGUAGGCAGCGAGCGUUGUUCGGAGUUACUGGGCGUAAAGGGUGUGUAGGCGGUUCUUUAAGUUUGGUGUGAAAUCUCCCGGCUCAACCGGGAGGGUGCGCCGAAUACUGAGGGACUAGAGUGCGGGAGAGGAAAGUGGAAUUCCUGGUGUAGCGGUGAAAUGCGCAGAUAUCAGGAAGAACACCCGUGGCGAAAGCGGCUCUCUGGAACGGUACUGACGCUGAGACGCGAAAGCGUGGGGAGCGAACAGG
rnacentral:rRNA from 1 species